rnacentral:lncRNA from 1 species
UUGGGCUGGAGCUCAGUCAGUUUAGCCUUAUUUUUCUAAAUCCGCACACCAUGGGGAAAAGGUAAAGAAGGAAAAAGAUAUUUUGAUCAAAUGGCUCGUCGGAUGUGCCUCUAGAAGACACAGAGAAUUGUAAGGCUAACUCCACAGUCAAAAUCAGGAGGAAUGGAGAUCCCUGGGGUUCCGAUACCCAAACCUGACACUAAUUUUUUCUUUCAAAUGAUGAUUCUAAAUAAGUGGGGAGACGACUACCAGAAAUCUGAAUCCACUUCGGAGACUUGUCGGCCAUUAUAUAAUUGGAAGCUUGGUGAGCUGAACCAGCUAUUUCCGAAACUUCUUUUGUUUAGUUUCAGGAACAUUGUUUGCAACAAAGAAGGAGACAUCCCUUGCAUCCUGACAUAUGGUACCUUCUAUUUAUAACAAGAUUAACAAUUCAUUCACACCUUGAUUGAAUACUGCUUUAUUGAGAUGUCACAACAGAUUCUCACAGCCUGCAAAGGGAAAGACUUACAAAUGAUAAUAUUAUGACAAGCAAGACACCUAAAAGUAAAUGAAUCAUAAUUGAUGAUAAUUAGAAAGAGCUCAGCACAAACACAGAAUCAUAGCAGUGAUGGUGAGCAGGAUUCGCCUCUUGCAGAAGGACUGCCACAGAGCAAUUCUGCUGAAUUUUCAUUGAGAAGUUGAAAUCCACUCACACCUAGGAAGAAAUCAUUAGAGAUGCAGCUGCUUACAUGCAAGAGCAUGUGCACGAAGCCUGGAUACACAGAUGCAUGUGUGCGAGAGAAGGUGUACGGGAUUAGAGAGCUCUGAAUGGCCUCAUAAUAGAAUCCCAGGGGAGGGCCGGAGGUCCCAGGCCAGCGAUGCUCACACGCCCAUCUCCUCCUGUCUGUGCCGCACAAAGCCUGACAAGGCCUCACUCAUGUUUCAAAGCGCUUUCUCUUUUCAGAGCUAUUUGUUAUUGUCUCUGCCAUCACAAGUUUAAAAAAGGAAAGUUAAUUAAAUAUGGAACAAGACUGAGCAACAUCUUUUAAACCAUCAUGUCAUUAGAACUGGAAUCCUUAGAGAGCUGCUUAAAAGGGGUUUGAGAACAAUGACUGUUCAAUCAGAUAUUUAUGGGCAUAGUUAUGUAAACACACUCUUUAUUGUCUAUGUAUAUUUAAUAUAAUUAUCAGUUUUGUAGUUGGACUCUCCAGAGACCCAACAAAUCACAGUGUUGCUUUGAAAAUGUCAGCAGAAAAGACAAUUAUGUUGCUAGCAAAUAUUCAUAAAUUAUAUUAAAAAGUCCUGUGGAAAUGUC